UACAGAGGUCCCAAGCGUUGUUCGGAUUUACUGGGCGUAAAGCGCGCGCAGGCGGUCCGGUAAGUCUCCGGUGAAAUCGCCCGGCUCAACUGGGCGGGUGCCGGGGAGACUGGCGGACUUGAGGAGCCUAGAGGCCGGUGGAACUCCCGGUGUAGUGGUGAAAUGCGUAGAGAUCGGGAAGAACACCAGUGGCGAAGGCGGCCGGCUGGGGGUGUCCUGACGCUGAGGCGCGAGAGCGUGGGGAGCAAACCGG
rnacentral:rRNA from 1 species